UUGAAGGCAGCAGUGGGGAAUUUUGCGCAAUGGGCUAACGCCUGACGCAGCAACGCCGCGUGGAGGAUGAAGGUCUUUGGAUUGUAAACUCCUGUCAGCGGGGAAAAAGCGACUCGUGCUCAUACCACGGGGAGUUGAUUGUACCCGCAGAGGAAGCCCCGGCUAACUCUGUGCCAGCAGCCGCGGUAAUACAGAGGGGGCAAGCGUUAUUCGGAAUUAUUGGGCGUAAAGGGCGCGUAGGCGGCUUCGCAAGUGGAAGGUGAAAUCCCUCGGCUUAACCGAGGAACUGCCCUCCAAACUGCGUUGCUUGAGGCCGGGAGAGGUGAGUGGAAUUCCCAGUGUAGCGGUGAAAUGCGUAGAUAUUGGGAGGAACACCAGUGGCGAAGGCGGCUCACUGGACCGGUUCUGACGCUGAGGCGCGAAAGCGUGGGGAGCAAACGGGAUUAGAUACCCCCGUAGUCC
rnacentral:rRNA from 1 species